rnacentral:rRNA from 1 species
UACAGAGGUGGCGAGCGUUGUUCGGAUUUACUGGGCGUAAAGGGCGCGUAGGCGGCCGCGUGUGUCGCGUGUGAAAUCCCCGGGCUCAACCCGGGAAGUGCGCGCGAAACUGCGGGGCUCGAGCGGAGGAGGGGAGAGCGGAAUUCAUGGUGUAGCGGUGAAAUGCGUUGAUAUCAUGAGGAACACCGGUGGCGAAGGCGGCUCUCUGGAAUCCUGCUGACGCUGAGGCGCGAAAGUCGGGGGAGCAAACAGGAUUAGAUACCCU